GUCUGGAUGGUGUAGUUGGUCAUCACGCUAGUCUCACACACUAGAGGUCCCCAGUUCAAACCUGGGUUCAGGCA
rnacentral:tRNA from 1 species